AACUGAAACCCUAAAUAUUUCCUAAACUCUAAAAUUUUAUAUUUUUAAAGAAUUAAAAAAGAAUAUUUAUUUGAAAAAAUCCAACACUAAAAUAAAAUUCACAAUUUGUAGAUACAAUAAAAAUUAUCACAAAAAUUUCAAAUAUAACUAGUUUUCCAAACUCUAAACCUUAAAUAGAAAUAUAAGUAACAUAUAUAUUCUCUAUCAUGAAAUUGAAAUCUAUUAACUUAAAAUAAAACCCCUGUUAUGACUCUUAACCACAUUCUAGGCCAUGACCUAUCUCACGUUUCAUAUAUACUCACGUUUCAAACUCUAUCUCGUUCUUCAAGCCAAACCCCAAAAUCUAUCAUCACAUACAUACUCUAUGAAUACCCUAAACCUCUAAACAUCAAAGACAAUUCUUAAUUUUUUUUUAUCAUUUAUCAUAAACUCUAGAGAAUUGUUAAAGUUUUACCAUUAUGUAAAUCAAAUGUCAUCAAAUAAUUUUAUAAACAGUGUUGAAUAUAAAAAAGUUGUUUAUCAUAAUCUACAACACAAAUCUUAAUUAAAUGAAAAGAAUACAAAUAUAGCUACUAUUAAAUACACGCCAAUUCAUGGUAAUCUGAAAAUCUAUAAGUUUGACCACCAAAUAUGUUUCCCGGGCAAAUUAUAAAUCAGGGGGUAAAUGAAAAUUUGGGGGAAAAUAAUUGACUAAAUAAAACUCUUAAUUCUUAUUGGUCGAAUCAAGAUGGCAGGGAUCACGCACCACUUCAUAUCCACCGUCUAUGACAUUUGAUUCAAUGAUUCAUCCAAUUCGUUUCUUCUUUCUUCAACGCUACCCAGCUCUCUCCUUCUCUUCCGUCAAUGCUACCUAUCUUCUUCUCAUUCUCACUCCAGUCUUCAAACCCCACUAUACUACUUCUUCCUCUGUAAUUCUCAAAAACAAACAUGCAAUAUACUUCCCAUUUUCUCUCUUGCACGUCGACAUCUGCUCACCUUUUUCGAUUGAGUUCCUGAAACUCCCGUCACAAAUCCCGUGCUCGGCGAAUGGUUCUCGCCACGCCAAAACUCCACUGUCACAGCUGCUUGAGAUUUUGGUUGGAGAAGAGCCGAUCUAGGAAGAGGAAGAAGAAGAGGAGCGAGAGGAAGAAAGAAUCGGUGGUGCUCACCGUCAACUCGAAGCAAAGAAGCGGCGCGGCGGAGAAGAUGAUGAACAAUUUUUUUAGGUUUAGCUCUUUUUGGUUUAUUCUUUUUUUUUUUAAUAAUUUGUUUUAGCUUUUGUAAUUAAUUUGAUUUAGUCAGUAAAUGGUUUAAUUUGUAAACUGACAUUAAUCUAUAAAUAAUUUGUUUUCGUAAAUCAGUUUAUUAUAUAUAAAAAAUUAGUAUAGCA